AGGGAAUCUUCGGCAAUGGACGAAAGUCUGACCGAGCAACGCCGCGCGAGUGAAGAAGGUUUUCGGAUCGUAAAGCUCUGUUGUAAGAGAAGAACGAGUGUGAGAGUGGAAAGUUCACACUGUGACGGUAUCUUACCAGAAAGGGACGGCUAACUACGUGCCAGCAGCCGCGGUAAUACGUAGGUCCCGAGCGUUGUCCGGAUUUAUUGGGCGUAAAGCGAGCGCAGGCGGUUAGAUAAGUCUGAAGUUAAAGGCUGUGGCUUAACCAUAGUACGCUUUGGAAACUGUUUAGCUUGAGUGCAAGAGGGGAGAGUGGAAUUCCAUGUGUAGCGGUGAAAUGCGUAGAUAUAUGGAGGAACACCGGUGGCGAAAGCGGCUCUCUGGCUUGUAACUGACGCUGAGGCUCGAAAGCGUGGGGAGCAAACAGGAUUAGAUACCCUGGUAGUCCACGCCGUAAACGAUGAGUGCUAGGUGUUAGACCCUUUCCGGGGUUUAGUGCCGUAGCUAACGCAUUAAGCACUCCGCCUGGGGAGUACGACCGCAAGGUUG
rnacentral:rRNA from 1 species